GAUGAACGCUGGCGGCGUGCCUAAUACAUGCAAGUCGAGCGAACGGACGAGAAGCUUGCUUCUCUGAUGUUAGCGGCGGACGGGUGAGUAACACGUGGAUAACCUACCUAUAAGACUAGGAUAACUUCGGGAAACCGGCGCUAAUACCGGAUGAUAUUUUGAACCGCAUGGUUCAAAAGUGAAAGACGGUCUUGCUGUCACUUAUAGAUGGAUCCGCGCUGCAUUAGCUAGUUGGUAAGGUAACGGCUUACCAAGGCAACGAUGCAUAGCCGACCUGAGAGGGUGAUCGGCCACACUGGAACUGAGACACGGUCCAGACUCCUACGGAAGGCAGCAGUAGGGAAUCUUCCGCAAGGGGCGGAAGCCUGACGGAGCAACGCGGCGUGAGUGAUGAAGGUCUUAGGAGCGUAAAACUCUGUUAUUAGGGAAGAACAUAUGUGUAAGUAACUGUGCACAUCUUGACGUUACCUAAUCAGAAAGCCACGGCUAACUACGUG
rnacentral:rRNA from 1 species